UACAGAGGGUGCGAGCGUUAAUCGGAAUUACUGGGCGUAAAGCGUGCGUAGGCGGUAAUGUAAGUCAGAUGUGAAAGCCCCGGGCUCAACCUGGGAAUUGCAUUUGAGACUGCAUUGCUUGGGUGCGGAAGAGGGAAGCGGAAUUUCCGGUGUAGCGGUGAAAUGCGUAGAUAUCGGAAGGAACACCAGUGGCGAAAGCGGCUCCCUGGUCCGACACCGACGUUCAGGCACGAAAGCGUGGGGAGCAAACAGG
rnacentral:rRNA from 1 species